CCUGUCUGUCAAAUAAGUAAAUAAAAUCUUUAAAAAAUAAAAAAAUAAAAAGAAAUAAAUUGAAGUUUGCCUAAAGAUACAGUAGAAUGUCUUGGGAUUCCAUUACCAAAAUAGGGUUUUGGGGGAGGACUAAGAUUUUCCUAGGUUGUGCCUAGUGCCAACUGGAAUCUUUCCUGACCUGAAAUUUCGGUAACUUGAUCAAGAAAACUAAACCUUACACUAAGAGCAAUCCACAGCUUGUGGCCAAAUAGAAUUAGUCUUACUCUAUGCCUAGAAAGGGCUCAAUUAUCAGUACAGGUAAGAUUUAAAGAUCAAUCUUUUCUCUGUCCCACUGUAUCUCUCAUAAUCUCUUCCACCAUUUUUUCCCAUUUCAUUAAAAUUAGUGCCUUUACAUAGUUGUUAGUUGAUCAACUAGUAGUUUUCUAAAAUGUCCAGAAAAACAGGAUACAGAUAUUUUGAAAUGUAGGGAUUUUCCAUGGCUAUCUUGGAAAGAAAAAGGAAAUCAGGCAGAACAAUAGGUAGAGAUACUGGCUUGAAAUGAAAUAAAGGUGGCAGGGAUUUCUAGUUCAAGCAACAUGGUGGGCUAAGGUAUCAACCAUUUUCUUCCUCUAUUACAGAUUCAUUAUGCAAAUAUGUAGCACAAAAGAAGUUAAAAGUGUGACUAAGCUGGAAGGAGGGAAGGAGGGGAAGAGGAAUCAUCUAUAAGUGGGAACCAGUCAAAGCUAGCAAGCACUGUGUGGUGCUUCAGCAGCCUGGGUGAUAACAUAACUGGAAAUGGACUGUGGAGGUUAAGUACUUAAACACUCAGUUGGGGAAAGGAAGCAUGGACAUGGUUAAAGACUUGAACUCAGAGACUGGAAAACAGACCUCACCCCCAAUACUAUUUUAUCAUCUGACUCCUCCAAGGGGCUCCUGUCCCUGAAAGGGACUAGUAAAAAGGCAAUUCACAGAAAGUGCAGACAUGUGGCCAAGAAAUAUAAGAAAAACAAUAAAAAUCCUUAGCCUCUGUUUCAGUGUAGGAAAUGCAAAUGGAAAUAAUGAAUUACUGUAUCAUUCUCAUUGGAAUGGAAAAAAGUUGUAUGUCUACCUACCGCCUAUCACUUUGGAUGUGGGGAAAUGGGAGUUCUCGCACACUCCAGGCAGGCAUUUAAAUUGAUGCAGUCACUUAGGAUUGCUGCUGUGUAGUAUCCAGUGCAGCUGAAGAUGAACAUGUCCUGUGACACAGCCAUUGCUCUCCUGGAUUGAUACUUUAAAGGUUCCUUGCUCAGGGGCACAAGAAGAUAGACAAGAGGAUAUUCCUUGGGAUACCACUUAUAAUGGGCAAAAUGGAAAACCUCUAAAUCUCUAACAAUAAAAGAAUAGAUACAUAUGUUGUAAUAUAUUCAUGUAAAUGUACUAACCAGUGUUUAAGUGGAUGAAUGUAUAAAUGUAUUAACAUGAAUGAUCCAGAAAAAGGCAAGUUGUUGGAAAACAUGGUCCGAUCAUCCCAUUGAUGUAAUUUUUAAAAAUCCAGAGAACAUUAUGUUGGUUUUGGAAUUCAGCAUCUGUGGUAAAGUGUUAAAAUCUCAAUUGAAAGCUCUGUAUACCCUUCAGGAUAUUAUAGUAUGAUAAGACAGGAAGUAGAAUAGCAUUAGAAUGGGGUGAUGGAUAUGUUCUAUGGUUAUGUUUGCUUAGUUGUAUUUGCUACAUUUUAUUUAUUUUUAAAAAGAAGGAGGAUCAAAUACAUAUGCUAAAAUGAUAGUAUUUAACAUUGGAUGAUGGGUAUGUUAGUUCUCAUUCAAUAUUUUCCAACUUUUUCUGACUGUUUGAAAUGUACAUAGAAGCUUUACAUAAAUAUAUUUUCUACUAUUUUCAGACUAUCGAUAACCAGUGUUGUGGCUGGACUAGCCCCUGGAGUUUGUAUGAUUGCAAGAUGCCCUCAGCAGUAACCAUAAGGAAACUUUGGGAAAAAGAAGGCCAGCAUAGAGUAGUACUUGUGAGCCAUGUUACACCAAAAGAUGUAAGCAAGAUCGAAAAAUCCUCUGUCUUAUGGAAGAAAAACGUGUGCGAUGUUGGAAAAUAAACAGAAGUGGCUUUUAUAGUUAUCAGAGAAGACCUUUCUAUGGAUGUAGCACUGGGGUUGGAAUCUUGAAGGUAAGAAGGAUUCAGCCUUGAGAAGCAAAGAGGAACAUGCCUGGAACAGGGUAGGCUAAAAGGAAAUUGCAGUGAGGUAAGACUGCCCAGCUGAUAUAAAGCCAGAAGAUGGAAGUGGUCCAUAUACUUUCCUUCCCUGCCUGAGUGAGUACAAAAAAGUAAGUGGGGAGCUUCUUUUUGCUUUGAAUUGGCCAGGUAACAGACACCAAAAGAGUUGCUUCCUGAUCCUUUCAAGCUAUGUCUUUAAAUUUCCAUUGAGUACCGAAGAAAUCUGCAAUCUGUUUUUAAAAUUGUCAUAGGGGAUUAGUGAACUCCAUUGGCCUUUCAGAUUAGGAAACUGUGAGUACCAACAGUGAAUAACCCAGAAAGCCCGAUGGUAUUUAAAAUGGAUCCAUAUAAUGACAUAUUUUCUGUCUUUUAAAAGACUCAGAAGCAUGGCUUCAGAGCAACUUAGCUUCAAGAAAAAGAGGAAAUUAUUUCUUUGUUGUGAUUCAUGCUGAAGGGCACAAUUUCACAUUAGAGCAAAAAGUUCUGUUUUUUGCUUUUUAAAAGCAGUAUCAAAUUUAAAUAUGCUCUCUAUUGCCUGCAUACUUUUUCAAAGGCAUUCUGAGAUUCAAAUAGUAUAGCUUAUUAACUGCAUUUUCAACUUCUUUUAUGCCGAGGGGAGACAGUUUCCAUUUAAUCUAAGAAAAGUCACUAUAAUGAAAAUGGGGAUAGAAUUGCAAAUUAUAAUUCUACAGACAAGAGCAUCAUUUCAUUAUAAUGUAAAUAACCACUCCCAUGCUGUGUGGUAUACUUAACUGAAUUUGGUUAGAUGAUUAUGGCACUGGAAGGCGUCUGGAGGUGGGCAGUAAUGGGGUUCUGUUUGGUGUAGUAAAAUAUUAGGGGUUCUGGAGUCAAACAAGUCUCUCAUUCUUGCCUUUGACCUUUAGGAAGAAGACCUCCUCUGAGCUUUAAACUUGGGAAUCCAGUUUCCUUUAAUGUAACAUCUGCCAAAUUUGCCUGGUAAUAAAAAUUACCUUGGGUAAUUUUUCAGUUGACUACCAACUCUCUUAGGGAGUAGGAGAAACUCCAUUUUACUACAUAGCCAACCAUGACGUUGGAUUUAUUGUUACUUCACUACUUCUGAGUUUUCUUUAUUCAGUAUCUUAAUUUCUCAUUCAAAAGGCAUCUGAUUUGUCCUGAAGGACAGAAAACUUGUAUUUUGGAAUUCCUAAUAUAAGCCAGUUAGUAGGAUAUUUAGGUCUAGCUCCACAUGUGUUAUCACAUGAGUUCACUAGAACUAUCUCAAAAGUUGAUUUUAUUUUCUGCAUUCCUCUUUAAGGGUAAGCGAUGAAUCAUCUGAAAAUGAGUGUAUGUAGAGACUGUGUGCAUGUGGUGAAUAACUUCUGGAAGGCAUCUUGUAGUUAGAAGUCCAAAUGCUCAAUCUCCUUCAAUUUCUACACCCAAAAGGAAGAAUGAUUAUUCACGUUCAAAACGAAAAUGGAGAGACUGUGAAGUCUUAACCAUCAAAGCAAGCCUGACCAUAGAGAAUUUAAUUGAUUACUUCAACCCCAGAUAUCGCUAAGAGAUUUUCAAGGAUUUUUGAAAUAUUUCCUUGCUGUCCUUAGUUUUUAUACAUGUAUUUUUCAUGUAGUUUAACUCUAUCUAGGUAUCUAAUUUUCUCUCCUACUUUUCUUUCUGUUGUCCCCACCCCCACCUC